CUGACAGCAACUAGCAGCGUACUCCAGCAAAGUGGACGCAUACAGGAGAGGCAGGUUUUUGGAUUCCAGAACGUGAAGUCGCCUUGCACCUCAGCGAGCUCUUCUUUGCAACGAUACUGUGAUUCCAGCUGGGCAUCUGUCAUGAAGAUCCUUUAUGGUCUCCUUUUGGUCACCCUCUUCCUAUUCCAGGCUGCUCCAGGGGACAGUCAUCUGCUCACUUGUGCCUCCAUGGGUGGAUUUUGCAUGGUGCAAUCCUACAAGACCUGCCCAUCUGGUGUAUUAUUGGAUGGAGUGUGUCGCCACAAAGCAAAAUGCUGCUUGAAGAAGAGAGAUACUUGACCUUGGCCCUUUUUUCA